AAAAAGGUCCUGCUUAAAAAGUUCUUUGAAAAGUAGAUAAACAUGCUUUAAAAUUUUCAUAAAGUGAAGGAUGGCAGC
rnacentral:rRNA from 1 species